UGAGGAAGGGCAAAUGAGUAAUUUCGCAUAGCGCCACCCAAAACCGAAAAUGUUCCCGCGUUUUGAUAAAUGUGAAGUCGUGGCCUCUCGAUCGUUGAUACAGCGCAAGAGCACCAUGGCGAGAGUUAACGGCAAAUGGGAGAGGCUAGUGCGUGCGACUUCGUAGAGAUUGCAGCUCAGAAAUGCAGGGCAGGGCUAUGGGAGGACUCCCUGUGGGAUUGUUGGAGCUGUACGAUCCUUACGCUAUAUUGCUGUCUGCCGAUGAAAUGCAAGCGGAGGACUCCAAUGUUGCUAGGAUUUGUGGCAACAGGUUUGAAUUCCACUUUGAUGCAGGGUAGCAUUACACACCACAAGUACAUUCAGGGAAAGUAUCAGGUGGUAUUGAAGAGAAAAUUCUCAGAAGGGAUGCUUACAGGCUUGGCAACUUUUUGAUUUCUUCAGAAUGCUAUCGUCUUAUUUCACAACUGUUGGUUACUAUGCAUGCACAAUGAUGACAGUUCUCUGUUCACGAUGGUUGAGAAAGGAGUCUUAAGGAAUACAUCAUGCCAAUGAGGCCUUUUGAGGAAAUCAAGAGCAAAGCUAUAAGAGCUUAUACUCAAAGUGGAUAAUAUCAUACCAUUGUGGAGAGUCGUGGUUCCUAACAUUCUUUUGGUUUAUAUUUUCUUGUGUGGACGGGUUUACUUGGCCUUCGCCAGAGAUGACGAAGCAAUCUCAAGAAGAGCAAGGAUGUUGGGAAGCACAGCAUUGGAUACGGCACUGAAUGCUCGGUUUUUGUUCCAGAUUGGAGUUUUUACAGCAAUCCCUUUGAUAAUGGGUUUUAUACUUCAACUUGGACUGCUCAAGGCACGUAUUCAAACAUUGCGAGGACAAAUAUUGGAGACAACUUUGACUGUGAGGUUCUUCAUAUUUCAAUAUGGAAUUGUGUACAAACUCCAUCUCACAGGAACGAACACAUCACUUGCGGUAACCUCUUUUUCAUGGCUGGCCUUUUCUUUUUAUUGAUAAGAAAAUGAAAAGAUUGAACAUAUGGCAAUGCUAUGUUUAGUCAAAACUUGAAUUAUGAUCUGUUUAAUGAACACGGUUGAUGUAAUAGUA